GAGAAAUGCUCAGUUGGUAUGACCGCUAGUUACUAAAAGGUUACUAGGGUUAUGUUGGUACGACUCCUAACGACGCUCUUUUGUCUUGGGAGUCGACCACGUCUUAAUUGCUAAGACGCAUUGGGAAAGAUUAGGCGUUUGCUGUGUGAUUUGGUGUUUUGUAUAAGAGAGAAAAUAAAAGGUGUGAUAACCAAUCCGAGUGGAUCAGCUUGAUUAUCAACCCCAACCUAUAUAAAAUAACAAAUCCCGAGGAAAUUGGAUACUUCUCUGGUCCUAAAUGGCAAAGGAACAGAUUAUCAAAGAAAAGACCAGCUGCUAAGGAUUCGCCGCCACGAUGGCUAGAGCUUGGAAUAGCUGCUGAUUACUCCGUGGUAGAUUUUCAUGGAAUUCGAGUACAACAAUAUAUCUUGGCUCUUUUAAACAUCGUCAGUGCAAUUUACAUGGAUCCAUCGCUCGAAUCCAACAUGAUUCUAGUGAUCGUACGAAUGAUUUUAUACGCGGAAAAACGAGACGGUAUGGUCAAAAUAUCUGCGCAUGACGUUUUAGAUCGAUAAAAUGCAACGAGUUCCAUUUUGUUAAAUUGGACAACCGUGAACGAUCCCUUGUCUUUGUUGCAACUACGGGAAGAUAGGAAAAACCUAUCUUCCACGAACGAUGCCCCCCGUCAACAACCUCCCCUCAAGGACGGCCAGCAUCUCUUUCAAAACGCCGAUAUGGAGAUCGACCAAUUAGCAACAGCGCUCAUUUCCCUCACUUUUGGA
rnacentral:misc_RNA from 1 species